rnacentral:rRNA from 1 species
CAGUCGAGGGGCAUCGGGAGGAAAGCUUGCUUUCCUUGCCGGCGACCGGCGCACGGGUGAGUAACACGUAUGCAACCUGCCCUCUUCAGGGGGACAACCUUCCGAAAGGGAGGCUAAUCCCGCGUAUAUCGGUUUCGGGCAUCCGAGAUCGAGGAAAGAUUCAUCGGAAGAGGAUGGGCAUGCGGCGCAUUAGCUAGACGGCGGGGUAACGGCCCACCGUGGCGACGAUGCGUAGGGGUUCUGAGAGGAAGGUCCCCCACACUGGUACUGAGACACGGACCAGACUCCUACGGGAGGCAGCAGUGAGGAAUAUUGGUCAAUGGGAGAGAUCCUGAACCAGCCAAGCCGCGUGAGGGAAGACGGCCCUAUGGGUUGUAAACCUCUUUUGUCGGAGAACAAAACCCGGGACGUGUCCCGGACUGCGUGUAUCCGAAGAAAAAGCAUCGGCUAACUCCGUGCCAGCAGCCGCGGUAAUACGGAGGAUGCGAGCGUUAUCCGGAUUUAUUGGGUUUAAAGGGUGCGUAGGCGGUCCGUUAAGUCAGCGGUAAAAUUGCGGGGCUCAACCCCGUCGAGCCGUUGAAACUGGCAGACUUGAGUUGGCGAGAAGUACGCGGAAUGCGCGGUGUAGCGGUGAAAUGCAUAGAUAUCGCGCAGAACUCCGAUUGCGAAGGCAGCGUACCGGCGCCAGACUGACGCUGAGGCACGAAAGCGUGGGGAUCGAACAGGAUUAGAUACCCUGGUAGUCCACGCAGUAAACGAUGAAUGCUGGUUGUCCGGGUCGAUG